rnacentral:rRNA from 1 species
UACGUAGGUGGCAAGCGUUGUCCGGAUUUACUGGGCGUAAAGCGUAUGCAGGCGGGAUCUUAAGUAGGAAGUGAAAGGUUGGAGCUCAACUCUAACACUGCUCCCUAUACUGGGGUUCUUGAGUGCCGGAGAGGAAGACGGAACGACACGUGUAGCGGUGAAAUGCGUUGAGAUGUGUCGGAACACCAAUGGCGAAAGCAGUCUUCUGGACGGAUACUGACGCUGAGAUACGAAAGCCAAGGUAGCAAACAGG